UGAGGAAUAUUGGACAAUGGGUGAGAGCCUGAUCCAGCCAUCCCGCGUGAAGGACGACUGCCCUAUGGGUUGUAAACUUCUUUUAUACUGGGAUAAACCUACCCUCGUGAGGGUAGCUGAAGGUACAGUAUGAAUAAGCACCGGCUAACUCCGUGCCAGCAGCCGCGGUAAUACGGAGGGUGCAAGCGUUAUCCGGAUUUAUUGGGUUUAAAGGGUCCGUAGGCGGGCUCGUAAGUCAGUGGUGAAAUCUCAUAGCUUAACUAUGAAACUGCCAUUGAUACUGCGGGUCUUGAGUAAAGUAGAAGUGGCUGGAAUAAGUAGUGUAGCGGUGAAAUGCAUAGAUAUUACUUAGAACACCAAUUGCGAAGGCAGGUCACUAUG
rnacentral:rRNA from 1 species